rnacentral:rRNA from 1 species
UACGUAGGGUGCAAGCGUUGCUCGGAAUUACUGGGCGUAAAGCACAUGUAGGCUGUUCUAUAAGUUAGAGGUGUAAUCCCUGGGCUUAACCCAGGAACUGCUUCUAAAACUGUAGGGCUAGAGUGUGGUAGAGGAUAGUAGAAUUCCUAGUGUAGGGGUAAAAUCCGUAGAUAUUAGGAGGAAGACCGAAAGCGAAAGCAGCUAUCUAGGCCAUUACUGACGCUGAGAUGUGAAAGCGUGGGGAGCAAACAGG